UGGGGAAUAUUGCACAAUGGGGGAAACCCUGAUGCAGCGACGCCGCGUGAAGGAAGAAGUAUUUCGGUAUGUAAACUUCUAUCAGCAGGGAAGAAAAUGACGGUACCUGAGUAAGAAGCACCGGCUAAAUACGUGCCAGCAGCCGCGGUAAUACGUAUGGUGCAAGCGUUAUCCGGAUUUACUGGGUGUAAAGGGAGCGUAGACGGAUAGGCAAGUCUGGAGUGAAAACCCAGGGCUCAACCCUGGGACUGCUUUGGAAACUGCAGAUCUGGAGUGCCGGAGAGGUAAGCGGAAUUCCUAGUGUAGCGGUGAAAUGCGUAGAUAUUAGGAGGAACACCAGUGGCGAAGGCGGCUUACUGGACGGUGACUGACGUUGAGGCUCGAAAGCGUGGGGAGCAAACAGGAUUAGAUACCC
rnacentral:rRNA from 1 species